rnacentral:rRNA from 1 species
CUAGAGUUUGAUCCUGGCUCAGGACGAACGCUGGCGGCGUGCUUAACACAUGCAAGUCGAACGGGGUAGCAAUACCUAGUGGCGAACGGGUGAGUAACGCGUAGAUAACCUGCCUUUAAGUUGGGGACAACAGCUCGAAAGGGCUGCUAAUACCGAAUGUUGUAUUUUUACCGCAUGGUAUUAAUACUAAAGAUUUAUCGCUUAAAGAGGGGUCUGCGUCCGAUUAGGUAGUUGGUGUAGUAACGGUGCACCAAGCCUGCGAUCGGUAACCGGUCUGAGAGGAUGAACGGUCACAUUGGGACUGAGACACGGCCCAGACUCCUACGGGAGGCAGCAGUGGGGAAUAUUCCACAAUGGGGGGAACCCUGAUGGAGCGACGCCGCGUGAGUGAAGAAGGGCUUCGGCUCGUAAAGCUCUUUUGCCUUUGACGAAUGGUCUAUUGGAUAGACAGGGACGGUAAAGGGCGAAUAAGCCACGGCUAACUACGUGCC